UAGGGACUAAAUUGAUGGUUU
rnacentral:miRNA from 1 species